rnacentral:rRNA from 1 species
GACGAACGCUGGCGGCGUGCUUAACACAUGCAAGUCGAACGGAAAGGCCUGCUUUCCCUUGUGGAUUGCGGGUACUCGAGUGGCGAACGGGUGAGUAACACGUGAGUGAUCUUCCCCCAACUUGGGUAUAAGCCUGGGCAACUGGGUCUAAUUCCCGAUAGGACUGCAGGGUGGUUCCUGUGGUGGAAAACGAUUUUCUAGUGGUUGGGGAUGAGCUCGCGGCCUAUCAGCUUGUUGGUGGGGUAAUGGCCUACCAAGGCGGCGACGGGUAGCCGGCCUGAGAGGGUGGACGGCCACAUUGGGACUGAGAUACGGCCCAGACGCCUACGGGAGGCAGCAGUGGGGAAUAUUGCACAAUGGGCGGAAGCCUGAUGCAGCGACGCCGCGUGGGGGAUGACGGCCUUCGGGUUGUAAACUCCUUUCGACCGCGAGGAAGCCACCUGGUUGGAAGGGUGGUGACGGUAGUGGUAGAAGAAGCACCGGCUAACUACGUG